UACGGGGGGGGCAAGCGUUGUUCGGAAUUACUGGGCGUAAAGGGCUCGUAGGCGGCCAACUAAGUCCGACGUGAAAUCCCAAGGCUUAACCUUGGAACUGCGUCGGAUACUGGAUGGCUUGAAUUCGGGAGAGGGAUGCAGAAUUCCAGGUGUAGCGGUGAAAUGCGUAGAUAUCUGGAGGAAUACCGGUGGCGAAGGCGGCAUCCUGGACCGAUAUUGACGCUGAGGCGCGAAAGCUAGGGGAGCAAACGGG
rnacentral:rRNA from 1 species